AGGACGAACGCUUGCGACGUGCCUAAGAAAUGCAAGUCGAACGGGGUAGCAAUACCUAGUGGCGAACGGUCGCGUAACACGUGGGCAACCUGCCCUGAAGCGGGGGACAACAGCUUGAAAGAGCUGCUAAUACCGCAUGUGUAUCGCUGUGGCAUCACAGAGGAUACAAAGCCGCAAGGCACUUCAGGAUGGGCCCGCGGCCUAUCAGCUUGUUGGUGAGGUAACGGCUCACCAAGGCUUCGACGGGUAGCUGGUCUGAGAGGACGAUCAGCCGGAUUGGGACUGAGAUACGGCCCAGACUCCUACGGGGGGCAGCAAUUAGGAAUCUUGCACAAUGGGCGAAAGCCUGAUGCAGCGACGUCGCGUGAAGGAUGAAAUCUUUCGGGAUGUAAACUUCUUUUACCAGGGAAGAAAUCAAUGACGGUACCUGGUGAAUAAGCCCGGACUAACUACGCGCCAGCAGCCGCGGU
rnacentral:rRNA from 1 species